GUCAGUGUGGCAUAGUGGUUUGAGUGUUGGACCAAGACUCUGGAGACCAGGAUUCAAAUCCCUGCUGACU